UACAGAGGGGGCAAGCGUUGUUCGGAAUUACUGGGCGUAAAGGGCGCGUAGGCGGCCAACUAAGUCGGAUGUGAAAUCCCCAGGCUUAACCUGGGAACUGCAUCCGAUACUGGAUGGCUUGAAUCCGGGAGAGGGAUGCAGAAUUCCAGGUGUAGCGGUGAAAUGCGUAGAUAUCUGGAGGAAUACCGGUGGCGAAGGCGGCAUCCUGGACCGGCAUUGACGCUGAGGAGCGAAAGCUAGGGGAGCAAACGGGG
rnacentral:rRNA from 1 species